UCCUUGUUGCCCUUAUUGGCCAUCCCUGUGCCUGGGACACCGUCCCCAGAGUCACAUGGGUCUCUCCUCCCUUCCGUAGGGUCUCUGCCCAAGUGGCACUGCAUCAGGGAAGCUCAGUCUAUGCCGAAUAGUAAUCCUUACCCCUUCUCACUCCCUGAGUUUCCCCCGAUGACUUAUCACACGGGUGAUCUUAGAACACUGCUUCUCAAGCGUGGACCACCAACACCAGCAGCAUAGGCAUCACCCGGGAGCAUGAUGGAAAUACAAAUUUGAGGGCCUUUCUCCAGAUCUACCAAAUCAGCAUCUGGGGUUGAGUCCAGCAAGCCGUGUUCGCCAGCCCUGCAGUGAUUCCGAUGAUCUUCAAAGUUCAGACCCACUGCAGUGGACUUUACCCAUACUGGAUCACUUCAUCCUCCUCUCACCCUAUGAGGAAAGGAAACUCAGAGAACAUCCACCAGGGCUGGUGGAGUCAAAUGCCCCGUGGGUAAGAACCUGGUGUGAGGGGUGGGGCCUGAGGCGAACCACCCAGUGCUUGCCUGGAUUACAGACCUUUAAAUUCCAUUAGACAAGACAACACUGUCUGGGUCACACAAAACAUGCCCAGGGUCAGGGUCCGGCCACGCGUUGCCGGCCUGCAGCCACUGAGCCUUGCCCAAACUGCUCAUUCCACUCAAGGGGAACGUAAGGUCGCGGGGUUACUUGGCAGCAGCAAGAGCAAGCGGGUGUUCCAAGCCCGGGGCUCGCUGGGCUUUACUACGUGGCCUCUGGACAACACAUGUCCCCUGGAUUGCUUCUGGUUUAUUUUUAAAUGGAGAUUGCAAUAAAAGCAAAGAUCAAACUUGA